rnacentral:rRNA from 1 species
UACGUAGGCAGCAAGCGUUGUUCGGAAUUACUGGGCGUAAAGAGUGUGUAGGCGGUGCUCUAAGUUCGGUGUGAAAUCUCCCGGCUUAACUGGGAGGGUGCGCCGGAAACUGGAGUGCUUGAGCGCGGGAGAGGGAAAGCGGAAGUCCUGGUGUAGCGGUGAAAUGCGUAGAUAUCAGGAGGAACACCUGUGGUGUAGACGGCUUUCUGGACCGUAGCUGACGCUGAGACACGAAAGCGUGGGUAGCAAACAGG